rnacentral:rRNA from 1 species
UAUGCCUGCGGGUGAAAGGAUUUAUCGCCUUUAGAGGAGCUCGCGUCCGAUUAGCUAGUUGGGGAGGUAAGAGCUCACCAAGGCAGCGAUCGGUAGCUGGUCUGAGAGGACGAGCAGCCACACUGGGACUGAGACACGGCCCAGACUCCUACGGGAGGCAGCAGUGGGGAAUUUUCCGCAAUGGGCGAAAGCCUGACGGAGCAAGACCGCGUGAGGGAGGAAGGCCCUUGGGUUGUAAACCUCUUUUCUCAGGGAAAAAAACUGACGGUACCUGAGGAAUCAGCCUCGGUUAACUCCGUGCCAGCAUCCGCGGUAAUACGGAGGAGGCAAG